rnacentral:tRNA from 1 species
GCCACUUUAGCUCAGUCGGUAGAGCAGCGCAUUCGUAACGCGCAGGUCGUCAGUUCGAGCCUGAUGAGUGGCUCCC